rnacentral:rRNA from 1 species
AACGAACGCUGGCGGCAGGCUUAACACAUGCAAGUCGAACGCACCUUUCGGGGUGAGUGGCAGACGGGUGAGUAACGCGUGGGAAUCUACCCUUCUCUACGGGAUAGCUCCGGGAAACUGGAAUUAAUACCGUAUACGUCCUGAGGGAGAAAGAUUUAUCGGGGAAGGAUGAGCCCGCGUUGGAUUAGCUAGUUGGUGGGGUAAAGGCCUACCAAGGCGACGAUCCAUAGCUGGUCUAAGAGGAUGGUCAGCCACAUUGGGACUGAGACACGGCCCAAACUCCUACGGGAGGCAGCAGUGGGGAAUAUUGGACAAUGGGCGCAAGCCUGAUCCAGCCAUGCCGCGUGAGUGAUGAAGGCCCUAGGGUUGUAAAGCUCUUUCAGUGGGGACGAUAAUGACGGUACCCACAGAAGAAGCCCCGGCUAACUUCGUG